GUUCUUCCUCCAAAAAUUCCUUAGGUCAUGAAAUAUGGUUGGUCUUCCUCUCAAAUUCAGCUACAACUUGAUGGUAGUCCAAAGACUUUUCGCAAAUGAACACCUAAAGAAAAUAUGAUUCACAGACCAAGUUAGCUUCACACAAAAUGCAGCCCGAACUCAUGUUCCAUUCAUUCUUUGUGAGAAUUUCCUCAUGUGCAGCUAUUUUUUGAUGCUAACCAAAGGAAUACUUAGACUUCUUCCGGCGUCGGUGCCUGCUAAAUACUUUUCGAGUAAGGACAUCUCAAACCGUUGAAGAAAAGAAAUUUACAAUGCGAGUCCAA
rnacentral:lncRNA from 1 species